rnacentral:tRNA from 1 species
GAGGUUGAAGUUUAAAGAACGUUUAGUUGUUACCUAAAAGGUGUGGGUUAAUUAUUCUCACCAGCUUCG